rnacentral:sRNA from 1 species
CCUGCCAGGAGGAAAUCAAGACAUCUCCCUCCCGACCUCAGAGCCCCAGCUUCCAAGGUCCUUGCUUUUCUGUUGUUUUCUUUCCCUGAUGCCCAUUUUUCCCUUUUGGACUGCCACACUCUGGUAUUGCAGAGGGCCGCGGGGUGAAGAUUGCCCGUGCCCUGGUGGGCACCUUCAUGUCAGCACUGGAGAUGCCUGGCAUUUCUCUCACCCUCCUGCUGGUGGAUGAGCCUCUCCUGAAACUGAUAGAUGCUGAAACCACUGCAGCAGCCUGGCCUAACGUGGCUGCAGUCUCCAUUACUGGGCGGAAGCGGAGCCGGGUAGCCCCUGCCGAGCCCCAGGAGGCCCCUGAUUCCACUG